UAGCCGUAAACGAUACUCGCUAGGUGUCGGCCACGGUGCGACCCGUUGUCGGUGCCGUAGGGAAGCCGUGAAGCGAGCCACCUGGGAAGUACGGCCGCAAGGCUAGAAACUUAAAGGAAUUGGCCGGGGGGAGCACAACAACGGGUCGGAGCUUGCGGUUUAAUUGGAUUCAACGCCGGAAAUCUUACCGGGACCGACAGCAACAUGAAGGCCAGGCUGAAGACUUUGCCGGAUUAGCUGAGAGGUGGUGCAUGGCGUAGUCGUGU
rnacentral:rRNA from 1 species